GUGAGUGUGCAAAAUGUGGGUGUAGGGUAGGGAAGUAAAAGUGUGCAGAGGAGUUGUGCAUAGGGUGAGUGUGCAAAGGGGGUUGUGCAAAUGGUGUGUGUGCUACAGGGGAGUGCAAAAGAGGCAGUGCAGGAUGGGGGUGCAGAGCGGGAGUGUGGAAAGAUUGAGUGUGCAAGGGGCGUGCAAAGGGGGAGGGUGAGAGUGGGGUGCGAAGGAGAGUGUAGAAGUGAGUGUGCAACAGAUGUGCAAAGGUUGUUGUGAGAGGUGAGUGUGCAAAUGGGGUCGGCAUGGGUGGCGGUGUAGUAGUGAAUGUGCAGUGAAGUCGUGCAAGGGUGCUGUGGAAAAUGAGUGUGGGAAACUGAGCGUGCAAAGCGUGAGUGUGCAGCAGGAGUGAACAUGGGGAGUGCAAAGGGUGUGAGUAAGAGGGAGUGUGAAGGAGUGUGUAAAAGUGAGCGUGCAACAGGCUUGCAAAGGGUGGGGGGUGAGUGUGCACAAGGAGGCAUGCAAAGGGUGUGUGUGUAACAGGAGCGUGCAAAGGGGGCGUGCAAAAUAGGGUGCCAUGCGUGAGUGUGGGAAGAGUGAGUGUGCAACACGGGGUGCAGAAAGGAGCGUGUCAAGGGUGGGUGCCAUAGGGACGUGCCAAGGGGGGGGUCCUGAGAGGUGAGCGUGCAAAUGAGCGUGUCAGGGUUGACUGCGUAGAAGUGAGUGUGCAAAAAGGCUCGUGCACAGGGUGAUGUGAAGGGUGAGCGUGCAAAAGGGGGCGUGCAAAGGGCGAGCGUGGGAGAGGGGGGAUGCGGGGGGGGGGGCGGAGCUUCCUGAGGAAACCCCCCCCCCUCCGGCACAACGCGCUCCUGAAGCGAGUGUGAGCGCACCACGGCGUCCCGGCUCCUGGCCUUUGCACACUCACCGGCUUUGCACACUUAUGGGGAGAUGCCGCUGCUGAGGAAGCCCCCGAGGGACGCGGGGGGUGAGGAUGAGGACGGGGACCCGUUCGCGUCGCACCCCGAGAGCCGCUACCGCCGCCGGGCCACCCUGGAGCGCCUGGUGGGGCUGGCUCCCUUCGGCCGCCCCAAGCGACCCAAAGCCGGAGACGGGGACGGGGACGCGGCCACGGAUGGGGACGGGGACGCCGAGGGACGGGGGAACGAGGGCAGCGGGAGCAGGAGGGAGCCGCUGUCGGUGCUGGAGAUCCUGGAGCUGAUCCAGCGCCGCGAGCUGGUGGCGGCGGACGAGCAGAUCAUCGCGCUGGAAGCCGAGUGCUC
rnacentral:lncRNA from 1 species